AUUCUCUUAGUAUUAAUUAGUACAAUUGACUUCCAAUCAUUUAGUUCUGGAAUGAUCCCAGAAGAGAAUA
rnacentral:tRNA from 1 species